UUGACAGCACAUAUACUAAAACUAGAACCAUACAGAGAAGAUUAGCAUGGCCCCUACACAAGGAUGACAACCGAAUUCAUGAAAUGUUCCUUAUUUAA
rnacentral:snRNA from 1 species